UACGGAGGGGGCUAGCGUUGUUCGGAAUUACUGGGCGUAAAGCGCACGUAGGCGGCUUUGUAAGUUAGAGGUGAAAGCCCGGAGCUCAACUCCGGAAUUGCCUUUAAGACUGCAUCGCUAGAAUUGUGGAGAGGUAAGUGGAAUUCCGAGUGUAGAGGUGAAAUUCGUAGAUAUUCAGAAGAACACCAGUGGCGAAGGCGACUUACUGGACACAUAUUGACGCUGAGGUGCGAAAGCGUGGGGAGCAAACAGG
rnacentral:rRNA from 1 species